rnacentral:rRNA from 1 species
ACGAACGCUGGCGGCGUGCCUAAUACAUGCAAGUCGAACGCUUCUUUUUCCACCGGAGCUUGCUCCACCGGAAAAAGAGGAGUGGCGAACGGGUGAGUAACACGUGGGUAACCUGCCCAUCAGAAGGGGAUAACACUUGGAAACAGGUGCUAAUACCGUAUAACAAUCGAAACCGCAUGGUUUUGAUUUGAAAGGCGCUUUCGGGUGUCGCUGAUGGAUGGACCCGCGGUGCAUUAGCUAGUUGGUGAGGUAACGGCUCACCAAGGCGACGAUGCAUAGCCGACCUGAGAGGGUGAUCGGCCACAUUGGGACUGAGACACGGCCCAAACUCCUACGGGAGGCAGCAGUAGGGAAUCUUCGGCAAUGGACGAAAGUCUGACCGAGCAACGCCGCGUGAGUGAAGAAGGUUUUCGGAUCGUAAAACUCUGUUGUUAGAGAAGAACAAGGAUGAGAGUAACUGUUCAUCCCUUGACGGUAUCUAACCAGAAAGCCACGGCUAACUACGUGCCAGCAGCCGCGGUAAUACGUAGGUGGCAAGCGUUGUCCGGAUUUAUUGGGCGUAAAGCGAGCGCAGGCGGUUUCUUAAGUCUGAUGUGAAAGCCCCCGGCUCAACCGGGGAGGGUCAUUGGAAACUGGGAGACUUGAGUGCAGAAGAGGAGAGUGGAAUUCCAUGUGUAGCGGUGAAAUGCGUAGAUAUAUGGAGGAACACCAGUGGCGAAGGCGGCUCUCUGGUCUGUAACUGACGCUGAGGCUCGAAAGCGUGGGGAGCAAACAGGAUUAGAUACCCUGGUAGUCCACGCCGUAAACGAUGAGUGCUAAGUGUUGGAGGGUUUCCGCCCUUCAGUGCUGCAGCUAACGCAUUAAGCACUCCGCCUGGGGAGUACGACCGCAAGGUUGAAACUCAAAGGAAUUGACGGGGGCCCGCACAAGCGGUGGAGCAUGUGGUUUAAUUCGAAGCAACGCGAAGAACCUUACCAGGUCUUGACAUCCUUUGACCACUCUAGAGAUAGAGCUUCCCCUUCGGGGGCAAAGUGACAGGUGGUGCAUGGUUGUCGUCAGCUCGUGUCGUGAGAUGUUGGGUUAAGUCCCGCAACGAGCGCAACCCUUAUUGUUAGUUGCCAUCAUUUAGUUGGGCACUCUAGCAAGACUGCCGGUGACAAACCGGAGGAAGGUGGGGAUGACGUCAAAUCAUCAUGCCCCUUAUGACCUGGGCUACACACGUGCUACAAUGGGAAGUACAACGAGUCGCAAAGUCGCGAGGCUAAGCUAAUCUCUUAAAGCUUCUCUCAGUUCGGAUUGUAGGCUGCAACUCGCCUACAUGAAGCCGGAAUCGCUAGUAAUCGCGGAUCAGCACGCCGCGGUGAAUACGUUCCCGGGCCUUGUACACACCGCCCGUCACACCACGAGAGUUUGUAACACCCGAAGUCGGUGAGGUAACCUUUUGGAGCCAGCCGCCUAAGGUGGGAUAGAUGAUUGGGGUG